rnacentral:rRNA from 1 species
UACGUAGGUGACCAGCGUUGUCCGGAUUUACUGGGCGUAAAGAGCGCGCAGGCGGUCGUUCAAGUCGAGUGUGAAAGCCCCCGGGCUCAACUGGGGAGGGUCACUCGAUACUGAUCGACUUGAAGGCAGGAGAGGGAAGCGGAAUUCCCGGUGUAGUGGUGAAAUGCGUAGAUAUCGGGAGAACACCAGUGGCGAAGGCGGC